rnacentral:rRNA from 1 species
CGCGUUGGGGGCUCUCCCAUAUGGUCGACCUGCAGGCGGCCGCGAAUUCACUAGUGAUUAGAGUUUGAUCAUGGCUCAGAUUGAACGCUGGCGGCAUGCUUUACACAUGCAAGUCGAACGGCAGCGCGGGGCAACCUGGCGGCGAGUGGCGAACGGGUGAGUAAUAUAUCGGAACGUACCCAAGAGUGGGGGAUAACGUAGCGAAAGUUACGCUAAUACCGCAUACGAUCUAAGGAUGAAAGUGGGGGAUCGCAAGACCUCAUGCUCCUGGAGCGGCCGAUAUCUGAUUAGCUAGUUGGUAGGGUAAAAGCCUACCAAGGCAUCGAUCAGUAGCUGGUCUGAGAGGACGACCAGCCACACUGGAACUGAGACACGGUCCAGACUCCUACGGGAGGCAGCAGUGGGGAAUUUUGGACAAUGGGCGCAAGCCUGAUCCAGCAAUGCCGCGU